CUUCAAAUGGAGGAAGUCCACCUAUAAGGAGGGACUCAUUGGCCUAUUAAAUUGGGAGUAUCAGCCCUUGGUCGUCUUAACACCUGGCUCUGUCAUCCUCUGUGGUCUAAGUGAGAAGCAAAGCACAAGAAAUCAGAGCCUCCUCCUUCUUAACCGGGGGUGACUUUGGCCUGGCCAGUCUGAUGCUCUCUUCAGGGACUCCGGAAGCCUGAGUGAGUGAGAAAUAUUCAUAAUCUAAUGAAGAAAUAUUUGCUGAGGAGGAGCUCCAUGGCCUAGGAGGUAUCAGUCUUCUCCAAGACAUCAAUUUCACUUGCUUACAGAACAUUAAAAAGAAAUUUUAAGUGAUA